CUAGCCUCCACAGACCCGCCUCCCUACACCUCCCCACACAUAAAAGCGCCCCCCACCCCAGCCGCCCGACCUCCACUCGCCCGCCGCCUGCGAGCACCCGCCCCUCGCGGGGGCCGGGCUGCGGGUCCGGGGGCGGGUGGUGUCGCCCCGGCCGAACCUCGGCCCCCUCCCCCACAGUCCCGACAGUCGCCGCCGCCAUUUUGACCGCCCGCCCCUUCCCUCAGGACUGUACUCAAGCGACAGGCGCUGCGCGGGCCCGGCCGCCCGCCCCAGCACGCCCAGCUUGCCGGGCGCUGCCCCGGUUACCUCGGCUUCUCCGCACUUGUGUCCGCGGAAGGCUUUAAGGAGGGACUCUAACUGGACAUGCAGCCACUGGAUUGGCUAGACUGACUUUCCUGUGAGCCCCAUGAGUUCUGGAGUCUCUGCUUCCUCGGUGCUGGGAUCAGAGGCUCCUGACCAGACAUCAGGAUGUGGGAGAGAAAAUGGCAGAAGGUUGCACCCCGUGAGCUGCACUGGCAAAGGGGCAGUGAGCAGAUUAUUCAUCAGCCUUUUCCAGAUAGUGAGAGAGACACCCAUGGGAGCGGCACAGGCCAUGAGACCUUGCUGGAGAAAGGACAAAGGUGCACCGCUGACCACAGAGCGUGACAAUGAUGUGUUCCUCCAAGCCUCUCUGUUAUGGAGAUGAGAAAUCGGGGCACAGAGAGGUUGAGUGACUCCUCUACACUCAUACACCAAGAAAGCAGGUGGUGUCAGCAAAGUCCUUGUUACUGUUGUGUGGCUAGCUGGGAACUUACUACGGAACCUAGGCUGAUUGGAACUUAUGGCAAUCCUCCUGUCUCAGCUUCCCGAGUGCUGGAAGUAGGUGGUGACCGCCGUGCGUGUGUUUAUUUAGUUUUAGUCUUAUUACCAUUUCCUUUUGUUUAUGUGCAUGUGCACACGUGGGUGUGCAUGUGCACACGUGGGUGUACUUACGCCCGUGCGUGGCUUCCUUCCUUCAUCUUACUCUUUGACAGUGGGAUCUCUCCCCGAACCUGGAUGGCGUUCACUCAGCUGGCUCCUGAGCCCAGGAUUCUGCCAGUUCACCUCUCACCCCUCCCUGCCCCAUAGAACCAUUGCUAGGGGUCAGGCAACAGACUAAACCUGACUCUUAAGAGGCUUCCGGGAUGGAACUCAGGACCUCAUGCCUGUACACAAGCACUUCACCAACAGGGUCAUCUCCAUAGCAACAUUGUUCUUAGUUUGUAGAUUGAGAGGAAAAUGACAUAGAACUUUCUCUGUAGUCCUAGAUUCCAUCUGGCCAGUCGUGAUUAGCACUGAGCUAUACUCUCAGUCCACACUGACUGCCGUACAGAGUUCCAUUCAGGGACUAGGGCAUGGCUCAUCCAGAGAGUGUCACCUAGCAUGGAGGAGGCAUGAGUGGGACACUCACCACUGCUUACGUAUGGAAAGUCCAGGGAGCUUGCUUAGUGGGUGAGAGGGUGUUGGCUGCCAAGUCUGAAACCCUGAAUUUGACCCACUUGGUUAAAGGAGAAAAUUGAAUUCUACAAGUUGUUCUCUAAUCCCCAUUUGUACACAAACAUAAUAAAUGAAUGUGGUGACAAUGACGAUG